CCAUGCGUGUGCAAACCUGCAAAGGACCGUCACCAGCAAUUUGUUGGCAUGUCUGGGGCUGGGCCAGCUGAUAAACUUUUAACACUUGGCUUGCCACUGGGUUCUCUCCCAAAGUUUCCUCUUAAAGGCAAGGCUUUACAGCGGUGGUGGAACUAAAAGUACCAGCAUGCCCACUCUGCCAACUACACGUACCAGCAUGCCCAGUCUGCCAAAGAAAGGGAUGGCAUGCAGGUCCUAGUAGUUCCACAGCAGCCAGAGAAGCACGGGCGGCCUAAUCCUACAUCAGUACAUUCUGGGACUUGUAGUUCAGCUACAGCUGGCAGGCCACGGGUUGAGGCUGGCUCACAUCAAGCCUGCAUUUCCCCUGAUUUUAAGCAGCUAGAGAACAUGUGUAAUUCAUGAGUGUCCCAGUUUAAAAGGAUAGAAUGGGAUAUAUUUAUAUGUAUAGUUGGAGCUGGGAUUCACAGGUAGCUGCCUAUCCUGUACAUACAGGUAAAUCCGGGCAGGCAGGGGUUAAGGCCCGCCCUGCAGCCUCAGGAUACUGGAGUACCCGGAGGAAACCCACGCAAACACGAUGUAAAGGAAGAAAACGGCGAAUUUACAGCAAUUCGCAGUAAAUUCACAUCUUUUUUACAGCAAAAACGCCUUUUCGUGGCUAAUUGAAUUCGGCCCUGAAGCUGUCUGUAUUAGAGUAAUGUGAUAGUUACAACCAGCAAAACUGAUAUACAGGGCAGGAAGGAGAGAAGUAAUUUUAUUCUAUCAUUAGCGAUAAUCACACUGGCAAUCUGAUCAUUCUGGCAAAUGCCCUGAUGGGCCAAUCCGGCCAUCUGCAGUACUAGCCGAAAAACUCUGCCUCCCAGUGCUCUACUUGGCUUGCAUGCUUAGAUGAGUCUGACGUGGGAACUCUCUGUAUGCCCCAUGAUGCGUGGACAUGCCCUCUUUUUCCUUGUGCCAACAGGAACUCUGCUCUAUUGACGUCUAGACUUCAGCAGAAUAAGCAAAGUGGCGGCUUCUAUUCAUGGCACAAAAAAAAGUAAAUAUGAACAGCAUGAUUGAAGUAGUGGUUAGCAUUACUGCCACACAGAACUGAGUCAAUUCCUAGUCAUGUCCAAUCUGUGUGGAGUUUACACACCCUCCCCACGUCUGUGUGGGUUUCCUCAAAUGCUCCGAAAACAUGCUGGCAGGUUAAUUAGCCGCUGACAAAAAACGACCACUAGUGUGUACAUGUGUGACCAUGUGGCAGGGGCUACAGACUGUAAGCUCCACUGGGGCAGGGUCUGAUAAUAUGCUCUGUAAGGUAAAUAUGUGGGCGCUAUAUAACUGUUAAUGAAUAAAUAAAAUAAAUAGGCAAAAUAUAAUUGAGAUGCUCAAAAAUGAAUUAAGGCCAUAAGCAUGUUUCAUGUAUAAUCAUCAGCAGACCCCAACUCAAUUUUGAAAUUUGCAGAUACACUGUAUAUUAAAAUAUAAUAAUAAUAAUAAUAUAAUACUGUAUUUAAAGAAGCCUCUCUAACAAAAACUUGUACUUAAUAAUGCAGGCAACAGUGACACCUACUGGCUACUAACAGGAUUCAUUUACACACUAAAAGCUGUAUUCAUCAUUACAAAGCAAAACAUCAAGACCAUAUAUUUUACUAUUAGUAGUAAUAACAACAA